rnacentral:rRNA from 1 species
UUGAACGCUGGCGGCAUGCUUUACACAUGCAAGUCGAACGGCAGCGCGGGCUUCGGCCUGGCGGCGAGUGGCGAACGGGUGAGUAAUACAUCGGAACGUGCCCAGUAGUGGGGGAUAGCUCGGCGAAAGCCGGAUUAAUACCGCAUACGACCUGAGGGUGAAAGCGGGGGAUCUUCGGACCUCGCGCUAUUGGAGCGGCCGAUGGCAGAUUAGCUAGUUGGUGGGGUAAAGGCCUACCAAGGCGACGAUCUGUAGCUGGUCUGAGAGGACGACCAGCCACACUGGGACUGAGACACGGCCCAGACUCCUACGGGAGGCAGCAGUGGGGAAUUUUGGACAAUGGGCGAAAGCCUGAUCCAGCAAUGCCGCGUGUGUGAUGAGGGCCUUCGGGUUGUAAAGCACUUUUGGCGGGAACGAAAAGGACUGUGCCAAUACCACGGUUCGAUGACGGUACCCGCAGAAUAAGCACCGGCUAACUACGUG